rnacentral:ncRNA from 1 species
UACCUGGUUGAUCCUGCCAGUAGUCAUAUGCUUGUCUCAAAGAUUAAGCCAUGCAAGUCUAAGUACGAGCUCUCGUACAGUGAAACUGCGAAUGGCUCAUUAAAUCAGUUAUGGUUCAUUUGAUCGUACAGUUUACUUGGAUAACUGUGGUAAUUCUAGAGCUAAUACAUGCGAGAAGCGCCGACCUCGCGGGAGGCGUGCAUUUAUCAGACCAAAAACCGGCCGCGUCUUCGGGCGCGUUCGCCUUGGUGACUCUGGAUAACUUUGCGGAUCGCACGGUCUAGCACCGGCGACGGAUCAUUCAAGUGUCUGCCCUAUCAACUUUCGUCGGUACGGUAUUUGCCUACCGAGGUUCUUACGGGUGACGGGGAAUCAGGGUUCGAUUCCGGAGAGGGAGCCUGAGAAACGGCUACCACAUCCAAAGAAAGCAGCAGGCGCGCAAAUUACCCAU